CACUCCUACGGGAGGCAGCAGUGGGGAAUAUUGCACAAUGGGCGCAAGCCUGAUGCAGCCAUGCCGCGUGUAUGAAGAAGGCCUUCGGGUUGUAAAGUACUUUCAGCGGGGAGGAAGGCGAUAAGGUUAAUAACCUUGUUGAUUGACGUUACCCGCAGAAGAAGCACCGGCUAACUCCGUGCCAGCAGCCGCGGUAAUACGGAGGGUGCAAGCGUUAAUCGGAAUUACUGGGCGUAAAGCGCACGCAGGCGGUCUGUCAAGUCGGAUGUGAAAUCCCCGGGCUCAACCUGGGAACUGCAUUCGAAACUGGCAGGCUAGAGUCUUGUAGAGGGGGGUAGAAUUCCAGGUGUAGCGGUGAAAUGCGUAGAGAUCUGGAGGAAUACCGGUGGCGAAGGCGGCCCCCUGGACAAAGACUGACGCUCAGGUGCGAAAGCGUGGGGAGCAAACAGGAUUAGAUACCCCGGUAGUCC
rnacentral:rRNA from 1 species